AGGCGCGUAGCUCAGUUGGUUAGAGCACUUGGUCGACAUCCAAGGGGUCGUUGGUUCGAGUCCAAUCGUGCCUACCA
rnacentral:tRNA from 1 species